rnacentral:lncRNA from 1 species
AGAUCACAUAAUUUAAAAUACGAUUCUUUGAAAUUGGAGUUGGUAAGUGGUGGACAUAGAUAUUACUGCAUUUUCCCUCUCUCAAGUACAUAUGUAAUAAAUAAUAUUGAGAUUGGGAAAAAAAUCCAUGAAUGUGUGUGUAAUACUGUAAUGCAUGCAUCGUAGAAGUAUCAAUGUGAGAUCCGGACACAAUAGUUGCAGCCCAUUUGUUUAGCAUCUUUACAUCAUAGCUUAGAAACUAGGAUAUAUACAACAUAACCCCCUUCUUAUGAUGCCUGUUAUGGCAUCAUAUAUAUGGUAAAGCACAGGAAUCUAAAACCAGGUCACUUAUGAUGAUAACUGUUGCAAUAGAUGCAAAAUCUGAAUGAUGGAAGUUAUCUUACUUGAUUAUGAACAAUUAUGAUCCAAACAAAUCGAAUUAAUACAAGACUUAUGAAAAAACAAAGCAGACUCAACAAAUUACAAUUAUCUAUGUAGAAUUAUGUCCUUCAGAACUAAAUUAAUAUAAGGAAUGAAAUCAUCAGAACCAUGUAAAAAGAAAUCAUACGGCAUAUUGCUGAAGAAAUACAAAGAAUCAAGAUGCAGAGAAAGCAGAAACAAAGCCAAACUUCAUACUUCUUAAAACCAACAAGCCAUGAUCGUAAAAUAAGGUAUGUGUGUGUGUGUGUGAGAGAGAGAGAGAGAGAGUACCAUUCAUGGUAACAUUUCAGGCACAUGACAUGGUUGCAGUUAGGCAACACAAUCUUACUAUUCAUCUCCAUACAUAUUCCACACUCUUCUUCUCUUUCAAAGUCUAUGUCUGAGAAUUGUUUGUGCUCCUCAUCUUCUCUUCUACGAUACCGCUCCAUGCAUACAACCUUCUGUUUUUUAUCCUCAGCAUCAGUGACACCUUUUUCAAGUUGUAACAAAGACGGAUAUAUGACCGCUGAUCAAUACAGAAUUUCAGUAUAUCAGCUAUCCACACACAGUAAAAUGCAAACUAACUUGUUAAAUUUUUAAAAAAAAAGGGAAGAUAUACCAUAGAAUUCCCUAAUACUUGCUUUUCUUUCAUGUGUAGACAUGGUAGUAGUCCCAUCCACAUACACCUACAGCAUGAGGAAAAUUUAGAACAUUGAUCCAUGUCUAAGUUAUUUUUAUAACAAAAGAUAAAAUAAAGUCAAACUUUUUUCAUAUAAGCUGUUUUUCAUAAGUUGUUUUCAUAAGCUCUCCCAUUCAGUCUGACAAGUGUUUAUGCCAGUAAGUAAGCUCAAAUAAGUCAAUCUUAACAUAAACAAGCUAAAAAUUCUCAGUUCAUAAUGAACAUCCAAAAACCAAAACACCAAACCUUGUAAAUUAGGAUUCUUAAUAGUCCAAGGGCUCCAGCAAGAUUGCAAUCUGUCCAUUGAACCAGAAAAAGAAACAAGUGUGCUGCUGGACUGUAUGACAUUCUCAUUUGAAGACAAGCACCAUCAUAUUCCCUUGGAAAAUCAGAUGCCCUACACGCCCAAUUGCAUGAUCAAGUUUUAACUUUUAUACUCGUCAAGAAAAAGUGGCUGGAGAGGAAAAAGAAAGUACACCCUUCGAAAGUCUUAACAUUUCAAAUUUUCAAUAUUUAUAAAAGACAGCAUUCAGAACUUAAGUUGUUUAUCCAAACCUUCUCUAGUCAAAUUUCACUAGAGACUCAAGACAAACACAACAAUAACUUUGAAACAUUUAGCAAAAAAAACAACAAAUAGCUGUGAAAGAUAAUGCAAUGCAUAUUACAGAUCAGGAUCAAAAUCAUCAUGCAUUAUUUGUUAGCAAGCCAAAGUACUAUCCCUGCUAACAUGUGACAAUGCCCCACAUACCAUAAGGUGGAGAAAACAAAAUAGUCACCAAACACAUUUAACAAAACAAAACAAAACAAAAAUCAGAUAUAUUUUUCAAACUAAAAAUUCAGAUAAAUGAAUAUAACCAACAAAUUCUCCAUGUGAGUACAACAGAGGUAGUGAAGGCCAAAGUUGUCUAAGUUUUGACUUUUGUAUAUAUCACACAAAAUGAAACAGUACAACAUAGACAUUUAUAAACAAACAAAAAUAAAAAAUAAAAUAAAAAACAAAACAAAACAAAACAGUAAUAAAUUCAUGAUGUGGAAGCCAUUGAAAAAUUCCACAAGAAUUAAUUCAUAGCUGAAUUUUGAAGUAUUGAAUUCUCCCGAACAAGACAGAGACACUGUUGAUUGUUGAGUGGAUAAUCACAACACAAAAAUCAUGAAUUUGCAGUGAAAUAAAUUCACCACCAUAUUUAUGGAAAAGAAAAUUUGAUUUUUGAACCAAAAAAAAAUCAGGGCUUAAAGUAAAACCCCAGAAAAUAAUUCCAAAACAAAAAUAACUCAUGAUCAAAUUCCAAAAAUAAUAAAAAUAAAAUCUUUAAACAAAGUAUGCAUACCCUUGAAAAAAAACAACUAAAAAAAUGACUUUUUUUUUCAAAAGGGUGUGAGAAUUGAAAGAAAAAAAGAAGGAAAAAGAAAUUUACAAGGUAUUGGCAUGAUGAAUAUCAGCUUCAAGCAGUUUAAGAGAUUCCUUAAAAGACCUUCCCAUGGAAGAAGAACCACCACUUAUGUACAUGUUUCCUCAAAAUACUGUUUUUCUUUUUUCAAUCAAAAUCCAACAACAACAAAUUUCAUAGUUUCUUUGUCUCUCUCUUUCUCUCUCUAGGUGUAACAGUAGCUACUGGUUAAGGCUUCUAUUUUGUUCUUCAAGGAAAAUUUAAAAGCUAGUUAGUGAACACGUGGCGUUGUGAUAUUUAUUUAAUUUUGAUUAAGAUUCCUUUUUUUUUUUUUUUUGAGUGAGAUUAAGAUUAGUUAAUGAUUAUGCUAAUUGUGAAGACAGUCUUAUCCACUUUGCCUUGUUUUUAGGUCUUGAUGGCUUUCAGCAUUGUAUUUAAGCAGUAAGCACUAAGCAC